UAAACUCCCUGUUGUGAGGAAGAUAAUGACGGUACUCAACAAGGAAGUGACGGCUAACUACGUGCCAGCAGCCGCGGUAAAACGUAGGUCACAAGCGUUGUCCGGAAUUACUGGGUGUAAAGGGAGCGCAGGCGGGAGAACAAGUUGGAAGUGAAAUCCAUGGGCUCAACCCAUGAACUGCUUUCAAAACUGUUUUUCUUGAGUAGUGCAGAGGUAGGCGGAAUUCCCGGUGUAGCGGUGGAAUGCGUAGAUAUCGGGAGGAACACCAGUGGCGAAGGCGGCCUACUGGGCACCAACUGACGCUGAGGCUCGAAAGUGUGGGUAGCAAACAGGAUUAGAUACCCUGGUAGUCCACACCGUAAACGAUGAUUACUAGGUGUUGGAGGAUUGACCCCUUCAGUGCCGCAGUUAACACAAUAAGUAAUCCACCUGGGGAGUACGACCGCAAGGUUGAAACUCAAAGGAAUUGACGGGGGCCCGCACAAGCAGUGGAGUAUGUGGUUUAAUUCGACGCAACGCGAAGAACCUUACCAAGUCUUGACAUCCCUUGACGAWCAUAGAAAUAUGWUUUCUCUUCGGAGCAAGGAGACAGGUGGUGCAUGGUUGUCGUCAGCUCGUGUCGUGAGAUGUUGGGUUAAGUCCCGCAACGAGCGCAACCCUUAUGGUCAGUUACUACGCAAGAGGACUCUGGCCAGACUGCGUUUGAACAA
rnacentral:rRNA from 1 species